AUGCCAUGGUGAGGGCAUUUUCUUAGUAACUCUUUAAACCACUCCCAUGCUUCAUAUAAAACUCUUCCUCUAGUUGUUGGAAAAAAGUGAUCGAAUUUCGCAACUU